GUGCUCUCUUUGGUAGCACUAUACUAAAAUUGGAACAAUACAGACAUUAGCUUGUCCUGUAUGUAAGGAUGAUACACAAAUUUGUGAAGCAGUCCAUAUUUUA
ensembl:snRNA U6 U6 spliceosomal RNA